rnacentral:tRNA from 1 species
GGUGCGAUACCCAAGUGGUAAGGGAGCAGUCUGCAAAACUGUUAUUCGUCGGUUCAAAUCCGACUCGCACCU